GAAGAAAGGAAGGAAUCCUGUCUUACAUGCUCUUUUUACAGAAGAGAAGACAAAACAACGCAGUGACUUGCCUAUGGCUUCUCUCUUCCUGUGACUCAGCUGUACCCACAGAGGAAUCAAACGGGCCACAAGUCAGUGCCAGUGGGCAGAGCCCUGGACAGAAAACAGCAACACAUGGCCCGGGAAGCUCCCGACCUGCCAUUUCGGUUGGCAUCUCGCUGGUCACGUGACAGCCUAGGCCACGAAAUAGGAAGACAGGAGGCAGGCUGUCCUGGGAAUGAGUGUGGGGAGGUGCCCUCGGCCUCACGCCCUCUUUCUCAUAAGACCCGCCUCCUGCCCUAUAGCACAGUUGCAGAUGCUUCCAGAACAGCGGGGAAAUCCCAGCCGAGAUGGGAGAUUGGAGACCCAGGCAAACCUGUCCAAAGGCCAAGGUACCAAGAACGCAAGGUGAGUUUCAGAAUUUCAUCUACUUGCCACUCACUCGAAUCACAUCCGUCCUACGGAGACCGUAUCCUGCUGCGUCCUUGA